rnacentral:rRNA from 1 species
AACGGAGCCUUAACCAAAGAAGCAACCAGCUUGCUGGAAGCGGAAAAGGGAAAGGCUUAGUGGCGGACGGGUGAGUAACGCGUGGGUAACCUGGCCCAUACAGGGGGAUAACACUUAGAAAUAGGUGCUAAUACCGCAUAACAACAGAAAGCGCAUGCUUUUUGUUUGAAAACCAAGGUGGUAUGGGAUGGACCCGCGUCUGAUUAGCUGGUUGGCGGGGUAAAGGCCCACCAAGGCGACGAUCAGUAGCCGGCCUGAGAGGGUGGACGGCCACAUUGGGACUGAGACACGGCCCAAACUCCUACGGGAGGCAGCAGUGGGGAAUAUUGCACAAUGGGGGAAACCCUGAUGCAGCGACGCCGCGUGAGUGAAGAAGUAAUUCGUUACGUAAAGCUCUAUCAGCAGGGAAGAAAAUGACGGUACCUGAGUAAGAAGCCCCGGCUAACUACGUGCCAGCAGCCGCGGUAAUACGUAGGGGGCAAGCGUUAUCCGGAUUUACUGGGUGUAAAGGGAGCGUAGACGGCAGUGCAAGUCUGGAGUGAAAGGCGGGGGCUCAACCCCCGGACUGCUCUGGAAACUGUACGGCUGGAGUGCAGGAGAGGUAAGUGGAAUUCCUAGUGUAGCGGUGAAAUGCGUAGAUAUUA